UACAGAGGGGGCGAGCGUUGUUCGGAAUUACUGGGCGUAAAGGGCUCGUAGGCGGCCAACUAAGUCGGAUGUGAAAUCCCCAAGCUUAACUUGGGAACUGCAUCCGAUACUGGAUGGCUUGAAUCCGGGAGAGGGAUGCAGAAUUCCAGGUGUAGCGGUGAAAUGCGUAGAUAUCUGGAGGAAUACCGGUGGCGAAGGCGGCAUCCUGGACCGGCAUUGACGCUGAGGAGCGAAAGCUAGGGGAGCAAACGGG
rnacentral:rRNA from 1 species